rnacentral:rRNA from 1 species
AUUGAACGCUGGCGGCAUGCCUUACACAUGCAAGUCGAACGGUAACGGGCCUUCGGGUGCCGACGAGUGGCGCACGGGUGCGUAAUACAUCGGAACGUGCCCGAUCGUGGGGGAAAAGGAGGCAAAAGCUUUGCUAAUACCGAAUACGAUCUACGAUUGAAAGCCGGGGACCGCAAGGCUUUGCGCGGACGGAGCGGCCGAUGGCAGAUUAGGUAGUUGGUGGGAUAAAAGCUUACCAAGCCGACGAUCUGUAGCUGGUCUGAGAGGAUGAUCAGCCACACUGGGACUGAGACACGGCCCAGACUCCUACGGGAGGCAGCAGUGGGGAAUUUUGGACAAUGGGCGCAAGCCUGAUCCAGCCAUGCCGCGUGCAGGAUGAAGGCCUUCGGGUUGUAAACUGCUUUUGUACGGAACGAAAAGCCUUCUUUUAAUACAGGAGGGUCAUGACGGUACCGUAAGAAUAAGCACCGGCUAACUACGUG